rnacentral:lncRNA from 1 species
GUUUGGUUUGCCAUCACUUUUUGUGACUUUUCUGACAUCUGCAAGUGUCGGAAGUGUGACCUGAAACAUUUAAGGACACUUCUGCCUGAACCAUGGGCAGAUGUUUAGACUCCAAGAUACAGAGGAGGAGGGUCUUGGAGGUUUCUUAGUAUAAGUUCCUCCCUGUGGUACUUGCAGUUCCUACAAGGGGCUGUCAGAGAAACAAGCCGGAGCAGAAGAGCAAGACAUGGUCCUGGUGCAUGAAAGGAGCCUAAGAAAGAAGAGUGAAAGCUGCACGUGUUCUACCUCCAGAAAGCCAUAAAAGAGAAAAGAAUGUUGUACCAAACUAAGCAAAUGAAGCAUGAAAUGAAAAGCCGGUUGAGCUGGGAGGUAUAAAGAAUGGAAAGGAAGCAGCUACCACCCCUGGUAACCCCAUCAAUCCGGAGAAGCUUCGCAGAGUUACACUGUGCUCUGUCGGGAAGGAAAUGAAUUUUCCUCAUUGUACACAUUCCGAGAAAAAUGAGGCUAAGACUAUUUCAAAGGAUGUUCUACCUAAUUCGAAUGGGCUUUAAGUGCCAUCUUCACAAUAGCGCCAGAGUCUGGUGUCAGCAAACUGAACAAAUAGAGCUACAGGGAGCGAAUGGGGCUGGGUGCCUCUCCAAAACAUAUGCAGAUGAACUUGAGAUUUCAGAGGACGGUUAAUCCUACACAGCAGUCAAGUGCCUUCCCAGGGGUAUGUCUCAGAUCUCAGGGCUCCCUUCCAAACACUGGCUGCCACGUCAAACCAAAGGGGACGAGCAAUCAGACUCACCUCAAACGCCAGUUAAGAAAGCCGGCCUUACUUAAGCAAUCAAGGGCAAGUGAUCAGCCAACUCUGCUUUCUUUCCUUUCUCUUGGAUCAUUUAUAGACCUUGUGGCCGUGGCCACCACAUUGAGAAGCCCUUGGUCUCUACUUGGACUCACUAUAGCAGGU